rnacentral:rRNA from 1 species
UAAAAUUUAUAAAAUUAGGUAGUAAAGAAAUUUCUGAAACCUAAAGAAUUUGGCGGUAUUUUAGAUAAUUGGAGGAACCUGUUAUUUAAUUGACAACCCACAACAUAUCUUACCUAAAUUUUAUUUGUAUAUCGUCGUUUUGAUAAUAUUUAAAAAUUAUAAUCAAUGGUAAUAAAUUUUUUAAAAUCAGAUCAAGGUGCAGUAUAUUUAGGUUAUAAUGGGUUACAAUAUAAAUAUUAUAUUAUGGAUAUAGAUUUGAAAAUAUAUUUGAAAGUGGAUUCAAAAGUAAGGUUGAAUUAAAAUGUUAACUUGAUUAAAAAUUUAAAAUAUGC